rnacentral:rRNA from 1 species
AGUGAACGCUGGCGGUAGGCCUAACACAUGCAAGUCGAACGGCAGCACAGGAGAGCUUGCCCUCUGGGUGGCGAGUGGCGGACGGGUGAGGAAUACAUCGGAAUCUACUCUGUCGUGGGGGAUAACGUAGGGAAACUUACGCUAAUACCGCAUACGACCUACGGGUGAAAGCAGGGGACCUUCGGGCCUUGCGCGAUUGAAUGAGCCGAUGUCGGAUUAGCUAGUUGGAGGGGUAAAGGCCCACCAAGGCGACGCUCCGUAGCUGGUCUGAGAGGAUGAUCAGCCACACUGGAACUGAGACACGGUCCAGACUCCUACGGGAGGCAGCAGUGGGGAAUAUUGGACAAUGGGCGCAAGCCUGAUCCAGCCAUACCGCGUGGGUGAAGAAGGCCUUCGGGUUGUAAAGUCCUUUUGUUGGGAAAGAAAUCCAGCUGGCUAAUACCCGGUUGGGAUGACGGUACCCAAAGAAUAAGCACCGGCUAACUUCGUGCCAGCCGCCGCCGUAA